UACGGAGGGGACUAGCGUUGUUCGGAAUUACUGGGCGUAAAGCGCACGUAGGCGGAUUUGUAAGUCGGGGGUGAAAUCCCGAGGCUCAACCUCGGAACUGCCUUUGAUACUGCAAAUCUCGAGUCCGGAAGAGGUGAGUGGAAUUCCUAGUGUAGAGGUGAAAUUCGUAGAUAUUAGGAAGAACACCAGUGGCGAAGGCGGCUCACUGGUCCGGUACUGACGCUGAGGUGCGAAAGCGUGGGGAGCAAACAGG
rnacentral:rRNA from 1 species